UUACUGAGAGAACCAGUGUCGUGAUUGGAGAGUUACUGAGAGAACCAGUGUCGUGAUUGGAGAGUUACUGAGAGAACCAGUGUCGUGAUUGGAGAGUUACUGAGAGAACCAGUGUCGUGAUUGGAGAGUUACUGAGAGAACCAGUGUCGUGAUUGGAGAGUUACUGAGAGAACCAGUGUCGUGAUUGGAGAGUUACUGAGAGAACCAGUGUCGUGAUUGGAGAGUUACUGAGAGAACCAGUGUCGUGAUUGGAGAGUUACUGAGAGAACCAGUGUCGUGAUUGGAGAGUUACUGAGAGAACCAGUGACGUGAUUGGAGAGUUACUGAGAGAACCAGUCAUGAUUGUCAAUCGAUGUUAAACACAGUCCUUGAACCAUGAAUACACAGUGUCUUAUUGGCCCAUGUGGGCGGGGCAUCCUGAAGAUGCAAAACACUGUAAUAACAAAAAUGAAUCAAAUGUAGAUAGAACAAAUUUCAAAAAAAGUAAUAAAAACACCUUUUCUCCCAUUUUUCUCGUCAUCUGGAUAUUUUGAAGAAAUUGGUUACACAAAUGAGCAUAACAAAAUUGAACAGAAUGACUUCUACUAGUGUAGGCCUAAACAUGUGUUUAAAGCCUUACUGAUGAAUCAUGUGUAGGUCACAUGAGAAUGGAACAUAAAACCUGUUUCUGACACCAUGACAACGAACAACAGUCACUGGAAACUAUGAGUGCUGUCUUCACUAACGAUCUCUUUUAAACUACAGGAACUGAUGGCUUCGAGACACCAGAAGCCUCAGUAUCUCAGUGGACUCCGACCCUACGGCAGUAACCAGAUGGUUGUUAGUUCAACCAGACGGUUGUUAGUUCAACCAGACGGUUGUUAGUUCAACCCUAUGGCAGUAACCAGAUGGUUGUUAGUUCAACCCUACGGCAGUAACCAGAUGGUUGUUAGUCCAACCCUACGGCAGUAACCAGACGGUUGUUAGUUCAACCCUACGGCAGUGACCAGACGGUUGUUAGUCCAACCCUACGGCAGUAACCAGACGGUUGUUAGUCCAACCCUACGGCAGUAACCAGACGGUUGUUAGUUCAACCCUACGGCAGUGACCAGACGGUUGUUAGUCCAACCCUACGGCAGUAACCAGACGGUUGUUAGUCCAACCCUACGGCAGUAACCAGACGGUUGUUAGUUCAACCCUACGGCAGUAACCAGACGGUUGUUAGUUCAACCCUACGGCAGUAACCAGAUGGUUGUUAGUUCAAUCCUACGGCAGUAACCAGAUGGUUGUUAGUUCAACCCUACGGCAGUAACCAGAUGGUUGUUAGUUCAACCCUACGGCAGUAACCAGAUGGUUGUUAGUUCAACGUUCUGGCAGUAACCAGGUGGUUGUUAGUCCAACCCUACGGCAGUAACCAGAUGGUUGUUAGUCCAACCCUACGGCAGUAACCAGAUGGUUGUUAGUUCAACCCUACGGCAGUAACCAGAUGGUUGUUAGUUCAACGUUCUGGCAGUAACCAGAUGGUUGUUAGUCCAACCCUACGGCAGUAACCAGAUGGUUGUUAGUCCAACCCUACGGCAGUAACCAGAUGGUUGUUAGUUCAAUCCUACGGCAGUAACCAGAUGGCUGUUAGUUCAAUCCUACGGCAGUAACCAGAUGGUUGUUAGUCCAACCCUACGGCAGUAACCAGAUGGGUGUUAGUCCAACCCUACGGCAGUAACCAGAUGGUUGUUAGUUCAAAUCCCACCAGUACGUUUGUUUUCCAUUUGAACUCUAACAGACCGGUGUGAGAGGUUGAUAUAUCCAGUUUGAACAGGUCACAGAGCGAAGGGUUCGGGUUCCUGGUGUUACCAGGGGGUGUGUAGAUCACCAAUCUCCUAGACCUGGUUGUACAGGACUGGCUGUGGGUUUGAAACCCCCAGUUUCUGGGGCCUGGAGCAUAUCCGAGUAGUUCUUUCUUCAGGUCUAGGCUUUAUGACGUGGUAACUGAGUAGUUCAUUCAUCCUUCAGGUCUAGGCUUUAGGACGUGGUAACUGAGUAGUUCAUUCAUUCUUCAGGUCUAGGCUUUAGGACGUGGUAACUGAGUAGUUCAUUCAUUCUUCAGGUCUAGGCUCAAAUGCACCUUGCAGAGGCAUGUCGGUGCCAGCGUGGAUUAUAUUUUGUUGACUGUCCGGUGCUCUUCAACUUGCCUAGAUUGAAUCCCAGCCUAAGUGGACACUUUACUAAAUGUCAUGCUGCCGAGUAUAAAAUUGUGUUUUUGUAUAUACAGUACCAGUCAAAGGUUUGGACACACCUCAUUCCAGGUUGCAAGUUCAAAUCCCCGAGCUGACAAGGUACAAAUCUGUCGUUCUUGUCCCUGAACAAGGCAGUUAACCCACUG